CAGUAGCCGCGGGAAUACGAAGGGGGCUAGCGUUGUUCGGAUUAACUGGGCGUAAAGGGCGCGUAGGCGGGUUUUUAAGUCAGAGGUGAAAUCCCAAGGCUCAACCUUGGAACUGCCUUUGAUACUGGAAGUCUUGAGUCCGGGGGAGGUGAGUGGAACUGCGAGUGUAGAGGUGAAAUUCGUAGAUAUUCGCAAGAACACCAGUGGCGAAGGCGGCUCACUGGCCCGGUACUGACGCUGAGGCGCGAAAGCGUGGGGAGCAAACAGGAUUAGAUACCCCUGUAGUCCCUGUCUCUUAUAU
rnacentral:rRNA from 1 species